CAUGGAACACCAAUUGCGAAAGCAGCUCACUAAACCAUUACUGACGCUCAUGGACGAAAGUGUGGGUAGCGAACAGGAUUAGAUACCCUGGUAGUCCACGCCGUAAACUAUGAUCACUCGUUGUUGGCAAUACACAGUCAGUGACCAAGCGAAAGCGAUAAGUGAUCCACCUGGGGAGUACGAUCGCAAGGUUGAAACUCAAAGGAAUUGACGGGGGCCCGCACAAGCGGUGGAGCAUGUGGUUUAAUUCGAUGAUACGCGAGGAACCUUACCUGGGCUCAAAUGCAUAAUGACAGAUCCUGAAAGGGAUUUUUCUUCGGACAUUUUGCAAGGUGCUGCAUGGUUGUCGUCAGCUCGUGCCGUGAGGUGUCGGGUUAAGUCCCAUAACGAGCGCAACCCCUACUCUUAGUUGCCAGCAUGUAAUGAUGGGGACUCUAGGAGAACUGCCUACGCAAGUAGAGAGGAAGGUGGGGAUGACGUCAAAUCAGCACGGCCCUUACGUCCAGGGCUACACACGUGCUACAAUGGCCGGUACAGAGGGCAGCCACCUGGUGACAGGGAGCGAAUCUCUAAAGCCGGUCUCAGUUCGGAUCGAAGUCUGCAACCCGACUUCGUGAAGCUGGAAUCGCUAGUAAUCGCGCAUCAGCCAUGGCGCGGUGAAUACGUUCCCGGGCCUUGUACACACCGCCCGUCAAGCCAUGGAAGCUGGGGGUACCUGAAGUCGGUGACCGUUAAGGAGCUGCCUAGGGUAAAACUGGUGACUGGGGCUAAGUCGUAACAAGGUAGCCGUAC
rnacentral:rRNA from 1 species